rfam:Arcobacter sp. LPB0137, complete genome.
UAUUUGCGUUGGUGAAAUAAAGUGAAUAUGUGAAUCAACUCCACCUGCUGUUAUUACUUUUCCUUCAGCAGAAAGUAUCUCAGUAUUAGCACCUAUUUCUAAACCUUCAGUUAUUCCAUCACAAAGCUCAGGAUUUCCAGCUUUUCCAAUAGCUAAAAUCUUUCCAUUCUUUAUUCCAAUAUCAGCUUUGUAAAUACCAGUAUAAUCAAUAAUCACAGCAUUUGUAAUAAUCAAAUCAGCAACAUCAACAGCUUUUGGACUUUGAGCCAUUCCAUCUCUAAUA